rnacentral:rRNA from 1 species
UACAGAGGUGGCAAGCGUUGUUCGGAAUUACUGGGCGUAAAGGGCGCGUAGGCGGCCUUCUAAGUCAGACGUGAAAUCCCCCGGCUUAACCUGGGAACUGCGUCUGAUACUGGGGGGCUCGAGUAUGGGAGAGGGAUGUAGAAUUCCAGGUGUAGCGGUGAAAUGCGUAGAUAUCUGGAGGAAUACCGGUGGCGAAGGCGGCAUCCUGGGCCAUAACUGACGCUGAGGCGCGAAAGCUAGGGGAGCAAACGGG